GUCGGUAAAACUCGUGCCAGCAGCAGCGGUAAUACGAGUGCCUCGAGCGUUAUCCGGAAUUAUUGGGCGUAAAGGGUGGUUAAGGGAAACAACUAAUAAAGCUAAAGACCCUCUAAGCCGUCAUACGCACUCCGAGGCCACGAAACCCAAAUACGAAAGUAGCUUUAAACCUGUAACACCUGACCCCACGAAAGCUAAGAAACAAACUGGGAUUAGAUACCCCACUAUG
rnacentral:rRNA from 1 species